UGGGGAAUUUUGGACAAUGGGGGAAACCCUGAUCCAGCCAUCCCGCGUGUGCGAUGAAGGCCUUCGGGUUGUAAAGCACUUUUGGCAGGAAAGAAACGUCGCGGGUUAAUACCCCGCGGAACUGACGGUACCUGCAGAAUAAGCACCGGCUAACUACGUGCCAGCAGCCGCGGUAAUACGUAGGGUGCAAGCGUUAAUCGGAAUUACUGGGCGUAAAGCGUGCGCAGGCGGUUCGGAAAGAAAGAUGUGAAAUCCCAGAGCUUAACUUUGGAACUGCAUUUUUAACUACCGUGCUAGAGUGUGUCAGAGGGAGGUGGAAUUCCGCGUGUAGCAGUGAAAUGCGUAGAUAUGCGGAGGAACACCGAUGGCGAAGGCAGCCUCCUGGGAUAACACUGACGCUCAUGCACGAAAGCGUGGGGAGCAAACAGGAUUAGAUACCCUGGUAGUCCACGCCCUAAACGAUGUCAACUAGCUGUUGGGGUCUUCGGACCUUGGUAGCGCAGCUAACGCGUGAAGUUGACCGCCUGGGGGAGUACGGUCGCAAGAUUAAAA
rnacentral:rRNA from 1 species